CAAUGUGUGCUAGGAUCAAUUUUCAGUUCCUUGGCUUUUUUGUUUAUCCGUUGGGUUAACUGAUUGGGUGUUUGUUUAUCUGUUUGCUUGCUUUUUGGAUUCACUGUGUUCUGGAUUAAAAUGCAGGAGUCCCUAGUCCAGUGUUGACUUGAAUCCUGAACCAAUAUGUGUCCUUGAGUGGACACCUUAUCCCCUCUGAACCUCCACUUCCCCAUCUUUUCUCACACUAGGGGAACAAAUCCACACCCUGCCCUUCCCAUUCUCAGGUUGAAGUGAGAAUCCAACCGCAGUGGAGGUGCCAAGCCCUGGAGGAAUGCAAUGACGCUGUGCCUGUUAUUGUUCCCCAGGACACUACUGUAGCACUCAAGACCAGCCUCCACUCCAGCCUUGGCAUGGCCUCCCGGUGUCAAGCCAAUGCCCUUCUGAUCGUUAUAUUGGCAUAAAGAAGCUGAAGCUAGGCUGUGUUUGAGGCUGUCUAUAUACUUCCAAGAUAGGGUGGAGCACCAGGGAAGAGGAGGACAGCCAGCUCUGGCAUGGAGUUGUGAGAGAAUCAGCCAUAUGCUAUUGAUUGAGGACUUCCCCAGCUUCACCAACCCUGAAGAAGGCAGGACUGGGAUUACAGAUGUGCACCAUCAAGCCUGGAUUAUUUUACAAGAGAAUAUAAAAAAAGAUAAGAAAAAUACUUUCACAGAGGCAGGCUGCUUUGUUGCAAAUACAAUCUAUGCUUUUUGCAUGAUUGCAACUUUUCAUAAAAUUGCCAUGAACCUGAAUUUUAGUAUUGAGAAUGUUUGCCCAUUGUAUCAUAUCUAUUUUAGAUUCUACCUGUAUUCCUAUUUUCAAUAACACCAUUAAUUUCAAAUAUAGGCCCGAAUAAGAAAAAAGAUGGCAGAAUAGAGCGGACUUCAUUGUUAGAGAGAAACAGAACUAAAGAUUCAGUGGCCAAUUGGCCCGCAGGUCCAGCCUGUGGUGUGGAUCCUGCCCCCAGACACCCUGCCCAACCACACUAGUGCCCUGAAUCUAAGCAGCAAGACAUGAGAGAUGAAAAAUGGUCCUUUUUCUGGGUUAAGUCUCCUCAAGCAUCUAAAGAAAUGUUCAACAUCUUUAGUCAUAAGGGAAAUGUAAAUCAAAACAACCCUAAGAUUCCACCUCACACCAGUCAGAAUGGCUAAGAUCAAAAACUCAGGUGACAGCAAAUGCUGGCGAGGACGUGGAGAAAGAGGAACAUUCCUCCAUUGUUGGUGGGAUUGCAGACUGGUACAACCAUUCUGGAAAUCAGUCUGAGGUUCCUCAGAAAACUGGACAUUGCACUACCUGAGGACCCAGCUAUACCUCUCUUGGGCAUAUACCCAAAAGAUGCUGCAACAUAUAACAAAGACACAUGCUCCACUAUGUUCAUAGCAGCCUUAUUUAUAAUAGCCAGAAGCUGGAAAGAACCCAGAUGCCCUUCAACAGAGGAAUGGAUACAGAAAAUGUGGUACAUCUACACAAUGGAAUAUUACUCAGCUAUCAAAAACAAUGACUUUAUGAAAUUCAUAGACAAAUGGAGGGAACUGGAAAAUUUCAUCCUGAGUGAGGUAACCCAAUAGGAGGGAACUGGAAAAUUUCAUCCUGAGUGAGGUAACCCAAUCACAGAAAAAUACACAUGGUAUGCACUCAUCGAUAUGUGGCUAUUAGUGCAAAUUCUUGAAUUACACUAGAUGCACAGAACA